UGGGGAAUUUUGGACAAUGGGCGAAAGCCUGAUCCAGCAAUGCCGCGUGUGUGAAGAAGGCCUUCGGGUUGUAAAGCACUUUUGUCCGGAAAGAAAUCCUUGGCUCUAAUACAGUCGGGGGAUGACGGUACCGGAAGAAUAAGCACCGGCUAACUACGUGCCAGCAGCCGCGGUAAUACGUAGGGUGCAAGCGUUAAUCGGAAUUACUGGGCGUAAAGCGUGCGCAGGCGGUUUGCUAAGACCGAUGUGAAAUCCCCGGGCUCAACCUGGGAACUGCAUUGGUGACUGGCAGGCUAGAGUAUGGCAGAGGGGGGUAGAAUUCCACGUGUAGCAGUGAAAUGCGUAGAGAUGUGGAGGAAUACCGAUGGCGAAGGCAGCCCCCUGGGCCAAUACUGACGCUCAUGCACGAAAGCGUGGGGAGCAAACAGGAUUAGAUACCCUGGUAGUCCACGCCCUAAACGAUGUCAACUAGUUGUUGGGGAUUCAUUUCCUAGUAACGUAGCUAACGCGUGAAGUUGACCGCCUGGGGAGUACGGUCGCAAGAUUAAAACUCAAAU
rnacentral:rRNA from 1 species